rnacentral:ribozyme from 1 species
UGGGCAAGCUUUGCUAGGCUUUGACAGUGAGCUACUCAAAGAAUGCGGAGUCAGAUUUGUUGGACAUCGUUCCAAGCUCCUUAGAGCCAUUAGACAAUUAAAGCAGCAAAGCAGCAGUCAUGAGAUAUGCAGAAAGUGGUGGUGGUUCUAUGCUGGUUACCUCUCUGGUCUUUCAACUCACCCUAUAAAAGAAUCCAAACUUGGGCCCACUCCGACCCAAUCAAGCCAUUCCUCGCCAUGUCCAAACUCCCAAGGACCAUUGACAGA